UCCUUCCGCUUCUCGGCCCACCCUCCAUACAAAUGGAAAACCCUAAUAAGAAACCCUAAGAAACCCUUCUCCCCCGCCACCGGCCACCACCCCGACCACGAGCAAGACAACCGGACAACGGAAGCGGCGAUGGGAUGCACGGCGUCCACGCGACGUGCGGGGCGGGGCUCGCUCGUGUUCGAGGUCUCAGGGUACGGCGGAGUUAGCCUCGACGUACAAUCAUCGGAAGUAUUCACCGUCGGCGCUUACGACUGGCAGAUUCGUUUCUAUGAGGAAGGAGUGUUUGGGCAUUCCGGAGGCUAUGUGGCGGUCUAUCUCUUUUUAGUCAGCAAGAAGGCCAAGGUGAGGGCAACCUUCGAGCUCAGUUUGGUGGACAUCACUGGAUCAACGCCGCCUCGUACGAUGAGGACGGUCGCCGCAGAAUUCGACUCUGGCGACCGGACGUGCUUCGGCCAUCCCGAGUUCAUGAGGAAGAGCGACCUCGAGGCGUCGCCUUACCUUCGCGGCGGCGAUCGCCUCACAAUUGAGUGUACCAUCACUAUCUGCACGGAAGCGCCCAAAUCAUUUGUUGAGGUGCCGUUGCCGCCAUCCGACAUCACGGAUCACCUCAGGAAGCUGUGGCAAGGGAAAGAGGGCACCGAUGUCACCUUCGAGGUUCAAGGGGAGGCUUUUCCUGCCCACAAGACAGUGCUCGCGAUGCGGUCACCGGUGUUUAAGGCAGAGUUGUACGGUGCCUUGAGGGAAAAUGAUAUGGGUCGCGUUAUCAUCGGCGACAUGCAACCUGCAGUCUUCGAGGCCCUGCUCCAUUUUAUAUACACCGAUUCGUUGCCCACCAUGCAUGAUCUUUACCAAGAUCAAGAUGAGUACAAAGAGAUUAUUGGACAUUUGCUUGUAGCCGCGGAUCGCUAUGCCAUGGAAAGACUGAAGAUCAUAUGUGAAAGCAUCCUUUGCAAGAACAUAGAUUCGAAGACCGUGGUGACUACACUGCCUUUGGCUGAUCAGCAUCACUGCAACAAGUUGACUGAUGCUUGCAUUGAAUUUAUUGCCUCUUUGGGUAAAGUGGAUGAUAUAAUAGCAAGCCAGGGAUAUGAUGAGCUCAAAAGAACCUGUCCUUUGGCUUUACUGGAACUGUGGGAGAAGGCAACUAGGCUGUACAUGAUAUAGUCUUCAUUUCACAUUGGCAUGUGUGUUAAGUCACAUACAUAUCUUGCUACUUGUUUGAUGAAGGAUUAGUUUAUUUUAAUAUAUCUGAAGCUUUGGUGGAAAACAGUAUUACUCUGCUAAUGUUUUUCGUUUGUCAAGAUGUUGCAUACUUAUCCUUUUAGCGCAAAUGGCUAGUGUAUGCUACUCACUUCAAUGAUGAUAUCUGCCGUAACGAAUAAGCAGCAAAAUGCGACAAGAGUGGGACAGGAGUGUGUUAAUGUGAUUAUAUGGGAACAUUUCGUCAUAAUAUGAAAUUCGAAACGGGAGAAUGAAUGCCACAUUUUCGAACUCGUGUUGUAAAAUAAUAGGGGUGCAUUUGAAACAAUAAUUCUUGCACUGGAAGGUGUUCAAUUUCCUUUGCCAGGUACUUUUCUGUUCUUGCAUCCUCCAAUUGGUUUCAGUUUUUAUUUUACUUAUUACCUGAAAAGUUGAGACUGAAUCCAUAAAAAGUUGACCCAUCGGUAAGCUUUUAAUUCUUUUACAAAUAUAAAAUGAAAUAAGUAAUCAAUCUAACCUAUAAAAUGAUUGAGUACCACCACAUCAUCCAUCUAUACUGUUAUAUAAACAUCAUCGGUACAUCACAGUAUUGGGCAACUGGCCUAUAUCAUGCUAUUACUUUGAAUGAAACACAUUUGUACUAUAUGACAGUAACUAAUUGGAAGAGUGCAGUAUGUUAAUGCACCUGCAUAUCCUUGAGGAAUAAAAUAUCGAAUAAAAGUUGACAUUUGAAAGUACCCCUUGUGUUGUAAAUUAAUCAUUUUGAUACAGAAGGAACGCAAUAAUGAAGAAGCAUGUAAAAAACUGGGGAAAGUAUUGUUCGUAACAGGUUAUAUGCAGCCCUACCGUCUACAGGAACGCAUCAAAGCAAACUUUGGAACUUGGUGCAUGUCAGGCAAGUCGGGAUUUAGUUGUUAUUUACAGAGGUGAUUUCUGUUCCCUUUAAUUUGUAGGAAUUUGGGGCAGGGAAGCAACUGAAUAUCUUUUUCAAAAGUAUUCUCAAUCUGAUUUGUAUGUGACGAGAUUAUUAAUCAGUUUGAUUGAUUGAGAUAUUUUUUGUAUUUGCCGCAGCAUGUAUGUACCAAGCAGGAUUGCAAGUCAUUCUCACCUUAGGAUAGUAUUCAUACCUAUUAGCAAGUCUACAUGGAUCAUUUAAUGUUGCAAUUGUGUGCUGACCCAAAACCCUAGAAAUAGUUCAACCAUUUUCCUCAAAGGCGUAUUAUUACAUCUAAGGCAAAAUCAAUUGAUUAGUUUUACUAUUUCUAACGUUUCUAAGUAGUGUUGAACCAUCUCCACAGGAGCUUGACAAUUUAGUGCUACCAGCCAUGUUUCACAGUACUAACACAAAGGUCAAUGCAGAAGUCUUUUAUAUAAUUAUUCACCUUGAGGAACACAUAGAAUUUGUUGCGAGAUGGAACAAUAAGUGUAGCUUAUAGUGACAUCAAAGAUUGCAGCUGUAUUUCACAAUAUUUUGAUGCCCAGAAAAUCUACUUGCUUUUGAUAGUACUGUAAGACCGCAUGAUACAGUGGUUCUCUUAGGUGUAUAUGAAAUUAGUUCAGUUAAAAUUAGAGGUCUAUGAUUCACCACGUUUUCCAGCGAUUAGAUAUAAAUGUUUUAUUGAAGUCUAUUGAAAGUUACUAAUGACAUCUGGAAGUCUGCACCUCCCUCUUUUUUCAGACCUAAGUUGUUUUCUCUGAAAGUCCAGCAUAAUACUCUGAAAAGAAGGUCAGGUUUUCUCCCUUUAGUCAAGUUACUCUGACUUGGUUUAAUUUUAAAAUAGUAGAUAUAUUCCUUCCUAAUUUUGUCAAGUUACCCUCCUAAUCUACCAUGCAGUUCCAUGUUUCAACUUGUUGCGUAAAUAUUUUUCUCUUUGUUUGACCAGAUGUUCACUGAAUAAUAGUCGGUCAUUGGUUAUUUGUUUGUUUGUGUGCAGUUUGCUUUUUUAAACCCAACAUUUAAACAUGAAACUGAAAUAUUAAGUUUAUCUGAAUAACAUUUGGUCACUGAACUAUUCCUCGUUCACUAUAAUUUUGUCAAAGUUUUAUGUAAUAGGUUUAAAAAAUAUGUUCAAAAAAUUAGCAUACAACUUGAGAGAAACCUAUCUUUUAGUUUUGGUUAUUACAAGGAGACAGAAAAGAGAUGACAUAGGCAUAUAGCUGGGAGGAGAGAGAAAUUAUGUGAUUUGGCACAGCAGACUAGCACAGAACCGAGAGAAGGGGGUUGUCAAGUGAACGGUUCUCAGAGUUCACAUGGUUAAAUGAACCAAAUCAAAGUCCAAGAUUGUUAUCUGAACCCUAAAACGAUUUCAAGGGGUGAUAUGGACUUCUCGACUACUAGAGAAUGUGCCUUCAACUUGCAGGGUCAAUGGACAUGCACCUUUGAUUUAACAUUUGAGAUUUUAAAUGCUCUCUGA